CAAAGAAAAUGUUUAAAAAAAAAAAAGUUUGUUCUCAGACUCUCCUUUUCACUGGCUAUUGGUAACACACUUUAGCAUUUGGACAGGUUAUCAGUUCCAAGUGUGUCCAGAAAAAUCCAAACAUGUUUUUGACAAUGACUGAGGUCGGGUUGGCUCCAGUCUCUAUCAUAUCUUGGGGCUAGAAGGUUUUUAUGCCAUCUCACCUUGUUGAGUUGGUACAGAGCAGAUUUUCCCCGACUAAUAACUGAGGGUAAAAUCAGGUGAAAAAUCUUGUAAUGUGUUCCCAGCUUUAGUCCAUUUAAUCCACACGAAAUAGGUUUAAUUACAUUGCUACUUUAAACUUGCCCAUAUCCACAACUUGAGCAAAACUGUUUCAAAACAAGGGCAAUUAAGUUUAUUUUGCCACCAUACUCAAAGAGGGAAUUGGUAACAGGAGGCAAAAAAGUCUCCAAAGCUUUGGCUUAAAGCUUUUAAUACAUUUUUACCAGAAGCGUCCAUAAAUUUGUG